rnacentral:lncRNA from 10 species
CGGUGCUGAGUACCCAUGAACCUUAUCUCUGAUCACCACUGCAACUCACUCUUAUGGCAUGGAUCAGCAAGCAGGGCUCAGAGAAGAGCCAAAUCAAUGGUACUCAUGCUACGAACAGGAGCUAUGGUAUUUUUACCAAAUCUGGAGACAGUGAUCUUCACUUUGAAAAACAGGUUCUGAGAAGCCCCUCAGAAGUGAGAAAGGCUGUAACCUAACCUCGAAAUUUAUUAGCAGAAGCAGGUAAGGACACUAACAGACACACAGGAGAGGCUUAGUAAUUUGCUGUGGUGGCCAGACUCCACGAUGGUCCUGAUCACUCACUCUGGCAGAAACCAUGUUAUAAUCAGCGCUGUGAAAUGGCUCAUGAGGUGAGAAACCGAAGGUUCCUUUAGUUAAGGGAAUAAGCUUGGAAGUAGAUCUUCCAAUUCC